AGGUAAGUUGAUCCUGGAGAAGAUUGUUGAUCAUAUUCAACAAGUAUCUGACUGUUUAAACAACAGCAAGAUGUUUGAGGAAUCUGCCAUUCAAGUAUUUUCACAUCUAGAAGUUCUCUUUCAAUCAGUUUGGCCCAGUUUUCAUAAAACAGUGCUUCCAGAACCUCAUAUUCUUCCAAAAAA